UUUGGGAUAGCUCAGCUGGUACAGCAUGAGGCUGAAUCUCAAGGUUGAGGGUUUGAGUCCCGCCUUCUAACU